UAAAGUUGUUUAGUUUUAGUUUUAGUUCAAAUGAAUGAUUUUCUAUAAAAACAAAAUUAAAUAAAAUAUGCAGUGGAAUGGCUGAAAACUUUGCCGAUCAAUUCGGACUUAAAUAUGGCAGGAUGUGUUUUUUUAUUUUAAGUCUAUAUUUAUAAAAUAUAUUUUAAACGUUAUUAACACAACGGUUAUAAAAAUUGACAUCCAAUUGGAUAAUAUAUCUGUUAUGAGAUUUGCUAAUUACAUCAUGGAAGGGUAUCGUGUAUUUGGCAAAUAUUUACAGGAGUUCGUUGUUGUUCAUAUGUGAAAAUGAUCAUUGCAAAGUACCGACAUCAUUUAGAAUGUCUUCCAAAACACUGAUGAAGUAAACAUGUGACGUACAAUAAAACUGAAACUUAAAUUAAUGCAAAAUAUUGAAAUGAACACAAGAGUUUCAACAAACUAAAAAUGUAGUGCACUGCAAAACGUACGUUAUUUGACUCCAUAUUAAAAUUUAAGCACUAGAAAAAGUUUGAUAGAUUCUUUUUCAAUUGGAGUGAUUGUCGUCUAUGAUUAAUUUCUGUAUCUCUUCUCUUAAUGAUUACUGGAACUGCAAGCUGAACUUCAACAACUGCAUCGUCAUGUAGAAGAAUAAAUUAAAUUAAAAUCUAAUAUGUACACAGUUUAUUAUUUUCAAUCGGAAAACUAUGAAAAUGUAUUGAGAGUAGGUAUGUUAACUGCCACACUUCAGAUUAUUCAAAUGCUUUAUUGAAAAUCUAACUAAUAAGUGUUCAACUGAUAAAAACUUAUUACGGAUUACUUAAGAUUUUAUUAUAUCAGUCGGCAUUUUAUUUUGAAUUUUGGACAAGAAACGAAACAGAAAUAGUUAAGUUAACGUUUUCAUAAUAGAGUCGACUAAGUUUAUGUUCUAACACUCGAUAUUGACGACUACACCGUUUCACCGUUCAAAAGAGGGCGGAAUCAAAAAUGUUCCAGAUCGAUGACGGGAAAGAAGAAAAAUAAAAAAAAAUUUUUUGUUUAAUAACAAAACAGCAAAACAACAACCGCAGAGAACAAUUUUCACCAAGGAAAAAGUUAUACCCAAACAAAUAACUUCAAUUGAUACCUACAAAUUAAUUUUAUAAUUAAAUUUAUAAAAACUCAUUAAGUUAUACGAAGUGGAAAUAAUAUAUUGCAAUAGUAAUUUGAAAAAAAAAAGGUGCAUACCUGAUGUCUAGAUAACACUGCCGAGUUGAAAGUCUGAAAGAUUAAGGACCACAUGCUACGUCCGUUACUUGUGAUAACGAUAAUGAAGUACAAUAUUUACAUCUUUCUACUCUUUUGAAGCUGGCCCAAACCUACAAGAAUUUUUUCAUAACAUACUAUAUGGAUGCGAAAAUUAGAAGUAUACCGAAUCCGUGUAGUAUAUUGAUCCAAGUAUUUUAAAGUUUUUAAAAACAUGGUCGCUAACAUUUACCUGGGGUGAAGCGCAAAAAUAUAUAAAAACCAAAGUUUGUAGGUGCAAAAUGACCAAAUGAGCUAUCAAACGGUUAGCUCUCCGACCUAACAACUUAUAAAAAGGUUGAAAAAAAAAGUUUCUUCUUGUUUCUUCUUUUCUUCUUGUGUACUUUAGCUACGAAUAGUAGACGAUUUACAAGAAAUAUUAAAACUCUAUCUUUUUCUAUGACAAAAAGACUUUUACUAUGCAAGAAAGAACAAGAUGAGUUUAGAAAGAUUUAUUUGAAGCGUUUCAAACAUUUUUAUUACA